rnacentral:lncRNA from 1 species
GGCCAAGCCCCGAGUCUGCGGACCCUGCAGUUCUGACCUCUACACUUCGCGGAGAACGAACACCAUAAAGAAACCAACGGGCAGUCCAGUUAUAGGUGGAAAUUGGUCCCACCCGGAGUGGAGAGAGCCGGCUUCUGAUUGGCCAGAGAAGUGCCCCUAGACCCUCAUUGGAAGAAGUGGCCGCCUCUCUUUGGCAUAGAGCUGUGAAGGAAGAGCUCAGAAAGGCAACACCAUUCUUGGGCUGAGGUCCUCGAUGUGCAUAGAAAGGAGAAAGGUGGAUGAGCACCAGCAUGCCACAGCCAUGAGGUCUGUCAGAAUAUUUUGGGCCAGAAGGCUGAAGACAAUGCUCCAACUUCCUGACUUACUGGUGCUAUAUAGAAAAGUACUUCCAUCGCGGUUGUGCGCAUGGCAGAGCAUGCUUGUGGAGGUCAGAGGAUCCCUUGUGGAAUCGGCUCCCCCCUUCCAUUUCUACAUGGGCUCCAGGGAUCAGACUUACACCAUCAGGCUUGCGAGACACUUGACCUGCUGAGCCAUCUUGCCGCUCCUCAAUUAGAAUUUUCAAUGAAAAUAAACUCUUGACCAUUGUGAGGG